rnacentral:rRNA from 1 species
CUUACCAGGGCUUGACAUGGGGAGGCUGGGCCGAGAGAUCGGUCGUUCCCGCAAGGGACCUCCCGCACAGGUGCUGCAUGGCUGUCGUCAGCUCGUGUCGUGAGAUGUUGGGUUAAGUCCCGCAACGAGCGCAACCCUCGCCUUCAGUUGCCAGCGGGUUGGGCCGGGCACUCUGAAGGAACUGCCGGUGACAAGCCGGAGGAAGGUGGGGAUGACGUCAAGUCCUCAUGGCCCUUAUGUCCUGGGCGACACACGUGCUACAAUGGCGGUGACAAUGGGAAGCGAGGCAGCGAUGCCGAGCGGAUCCCGAAAAGCCGUCUCAGUUCAGAUUGCACUCUGCAACUCGGGUGCAUGAAGGCGGAAUCGCU